GCAGGUCGACUCAACUCCGGAGAGAUAUUAGCCAGACGACUUGGAAGAGAGUAACAAUUCCAAUACUUUUAUGACACAACUAACUACAAUGAGGACUGAUCUUGUUUAUCCAUAAAUCAAUGACAGACAAACCAGGAACCGAAAUUAUUUAUUAUACUGGAAAAUCACGUUCAGUGAAUCCUGUAUGAGAUCAAUCUUCGGCUCUGUUAAAAGAAUGCCGUACGGAUAUUCCCAAAUCCUACUGUCAAUACCCCUAAAGUUCAGCUGACUAUUCGUACGUUGGUGCACAAUUAGGAAUAGAAAACCCGGUCGACUCAACUCCGGAGAGAUAUUAGCCAGACGACUUGGAAGAGAGUAACAAUUCCAAUACUUUUAUGACACAACUAACUACAAUGAGGACUGAUCUUGUUUAUCCAUAAAUCAAUGACAGACAAACCAGGAACCGAAAUUAUUUAUUAUACUGGAAAAUCACGUUCAGUGAAUCCUGUAUGAGAUCAAUCUUCGGCUCUGUUAAAAGAAUGCCGUACGGAUAUUCCCAAAUCCUACUGUCAAUACCCCUAAAGUUCAGCUGACUAUUCGUACGUUGGUGCACAAUUAGGAAUAGAAAACCCGAAGUCUGUGCUGCUUUGCUGAAGAACUGAUCAGUAAAUCACCAGCUGCAAAGGCUAUUUGUAAGUCCUUACUUGUCUUAUCUGGAUAUAUAACACAUUUUUUAAAAAAUAGUUUGUCAGUUCAAGGUGUUGUUUUUCAUUUCUGACCAAAUUCCUCCUUCUGUUUUAAUGACACAGAUUUGUUUUUCCGCUGUGAGUUUUAAGCAGCCUUGAAACACUAGAUAUACUGAAUUCAUAGAAUUAUCAAAAUCACAAACAAGCAUUGAUACGUGCUGUUUAUCUAUCUCCCAUUUUUUUAAACCACAAAAUGAAAAACUAACAUGGUUUUUAAUUAAAUUACUUAAUCUCAAUUUAGCAAGGCCCUCCCCAUCCUUUAUUCUCACAUUUGUAACUUUUCACAAUCUUGUUAGUCAUUAGUCUUUUCUUCAUACAGUAUAUGCUCUGUAUUCUGUGGUGUCUGGUGUUUUGGAGUAUUGUGGUGCUCUACAAAUAAAGAUCACAGUUAUAUUGCACAAAAUAUCUUCAGCUCAAACAUGACCCAAAAUACCUUUUAAGAGCAGCAA